AGCAGAGCCAGUUGAUCAGUUGAUCUGUACCACCACACUUUGGCUCCUCCGCCCUCUGCUCUCUUCUGCUCGGCAGCCGAAUCUCCCUCCGCCCCGCCCGUGCUCAGAAACCCUCGGCGCCUUGCCCCUUUGCCAGAGGAUGCCAUUAACUCAGGUGCACAAACGUGGGGCUAUAAGCCGUUCCAUUGACAUUGGUAGGUUCUCUGAAUAUGGAGAACUGAAUCAAGCUUUGGCCCACAUGUUUGGCAUGGAAGGGCGACUCGAAGAUCGACAGAGUAUGGGUUGGAAAUGUAUCUAGCAGGAUUAUGAGGGCGACUUCCUAUUUGUCGGUGAUGACCCAUGGGAGGAGUUUGUGAUCAUCGUCAAGUCCAUUUGGAUCUUGUCGCCUCAAGAGGUUCUUCAGCCGAUGUUUCCGGGUGGUGAUUUAACAUCAAGGCUGUAGCCUACGAAAUCAAUGCAGUGAAGAAUAUAGUGUAUAUGUGUGAGCUUAUUGUUGUGAGGGCUAAAAUUCUGCCAAGACUAGCUUGAUCAUGCGCGCUGCAAUAUUUGCCGUGAGGCCUAAAUUCUCCUAAGGCUAUACAUUUGAUCAUGGGUGCUGCGACGCGCCAUUUAAAUGCUACGUGCAUUGUCUC